rnacentral:rRNA from 1 species
GACGAACGCUGGCGGCGUGCUUAACACAUGCAAGUCGAACGAAGUGGAGAACGGGUGAGUAACGCGUAAUCAACCUGGCCUUCAGAGGGGGACAACAGUUGGAAAAGACUGCUAAUACCGCAUACUGAAGGAGGGGAUUGCGUCUGAUUAGCUGGUUGGGGGGGUAACGACCCACGAAGGCGAUGAUCAGUAGCCGGUCUGAAAGGAUGAACGGGCACAUUGGGACUGGGGCACGGCCCAGGAUCCUACGGGAGGCAGCAGUGGGGAAUCUUCCGCAAUGGAAGAAAGUCUGACGGAGGCACGCCGCGGGAGUGAUGGAGGCCGUCGGGUUGUAAAGCUCUGUUAAGCGGGACGCGGUACCGGAAGAAAAAGCCACGGCUAACUACGUGCCAGCAGCCGCGGUAAUAC